rnacentral:rRNA from 1 species
AAAAGCUCAAAUUUGAAAUCUGGCAGCCUCAGGUUGUUCGAGUUGUAAUCUAUAGAAACGUUUUCCGCGCCGGCCCAUGUACAAGUCCCUUGGAAUAGGGCGUCAUAGAGGGUGAGAAUCCCGUCCUUGACACGGACCACCGGUGCUUUGUGAUACGUUUUCAACGAGUCGAGUUGUUUGGGAAUGCAGCUCAAAAUGGGUGGUAAAUUCCAUCUAAAGCUAAAUAUUGGCGAGAGACCGAUAGCGAACAAGUACCGUGAGGGAAAGAUGAAAAGCACUUUGGAAAGAGAGUUAAACAGUAUGUGAAAUUGUUGAAAGGGAAACGAUUGAAGUCAGUCGUGUCUAUUGGACUCAGCCGGUUCUGCCGGUGUACUUCCUUUAGAUGGGGUCAACAUCAGUUUUGAUCGCUGGAAAAGGGCGGGAGGAAUGUAGCACUCUCGGGUGAACUUAUAGCC